UAGCCGUAAACGAUACUCGCUAGGUGUCGGCCACGGUGCGACCGUUGUCGGUGCCGUAGGGAGCCGUGAAGCGAGCCACCUGGGAAGUACGGCCGCAAGGCUGAAACUUAAAGGAAUUGGCGGGGGGAGCACCACAACGGGUGGAGCUUGCGGUUUAAUUGGAUUCAACGCCGGAAAUCUUACCGGGACCGACAGCAACAUGAAGGCCAGGCUGAAGACUUUGCCGGAUUAGCUGAGAGGAGGUGCAUGGCGUAGUCGUGU
rnacentral:rRNA from 1 species